UGGGGAAUAUUGGACAAUGGGCGAAAGCCUGAUCCAGCCAUGCCGCGUGCGUGAAGAAGGUCUUCGGAUUGUAAAGCACUUUAAGUUGGGAGGAAGGGCAUUUACCUAAUACGUAAUUGUUUUGACGUUACCGACGGAAUAAGCACCGGCUAACUCUGUG
rnacentral:rRNA from 1 species